rnacentral:rRNA from 1 species
AUUGAACGCUGGCGGCAGGCUUAACACAUGCAAGUCGAGCGGGGGAAGGUAGCUUGCUACUGGACCUAGCGGCGGACGGGUGAGUAAUGCUUAGGAAUCUGCCUAUUAGUGGGGGACAACAUCUCGAAAGGGAUGCUAAUACCGCAUACGUCCUACGGGAGGAAGCAGGGGAUCUUCGGACCUUGCGCUAAUAGAUGAGCCUAAGUCGGAUUAGCUAGUUGGUGGGGUAAAGGCCUACCAAGGCGACGGUCUGUAGCGGGUCUGAGAGGAUGAUCCGCCACACUGGGACUGAGACACGGCCCAGACUCCUACGGGAGGCAGCAGUGGGGAAUAUUGGACAACGGGGGGAACCCUGAUCCAGCCAUGCCGCGUGUGUGAAGAAGGCCUUAUGGUUGUAAAGCACUUUAAGCGAGGAGGAGGCUACUUUAGUUAAUACCUAGAGAUAGUGGACGUUACUCGCAGAAUAAGCACCGGCUAACUCUGUGCCAGCCGCCGCGGUAA